rnacentral:guide_RNA from 1 species
AUAUAACAAAUCAGUGUGUGUAAGAUAGAGUCAGAGAUAUUGUGAAGU